UAUAAAUUUUAUAAUUUGAAAAAUUUAUUUUAAAUUUAUUUUACAUAUAAAUUUUAGUGUUAAUUAUUCUUUAUUUAAAUAAUUAAGAAAUGUUUUAUAUAGUAAUUAAUAUUAAAAAUUUAAGAAAUUAAGAUUUAGUAAUAUGGGAAUUAAUAACAAAUUUUGUGCCAGCAGUUGCGGUUAUACAAAAGUUAAAUUAAAUUUUAUUGGUAAUUAAUUAAUGAAUUUAGAUUAUAAGUAAAAUUUUAAAUUAUUAGGUGAAAUUUUAAUUUAAUUAAAACUUAUUAAAAUUUAUGAUUUAAUAAUUUUUAUAAUAAACUAGGAUUAGAUACCCUAUUAUUGAUUUUUAAAUUAAAAAUACUAAAAUAGUAAAUGAUUUAAAAAUUGAAACUUAAAUAAUUUGGCGGUAUUUUAGUUUAUUUAGAGGAAUCUGUUUAAUAAUUGAUAGUCCACGAAUAAAUUUACUUAAUUUUUAAUUUUGUAUAUCGUUGUUAUAAAAAUAUUUUUUAAUAAAAAUAAUAUUUUAAAAUUUUUAUUUGAGAUUAAAUCAAAUCAAGAUGCAGAUUAUAAUUAAGAAUAUAAUGGAUUACAAUAAGUUUAAUUUAAAUGAAUAUUAUUUUUUAAUAAUUAAAUUGAAGGUGGAUUUAAAUGUAAUUUUAUUUAGUUUAAUGAAAUGAUUUAAAAUUAAAAUAUGUACAUAUUGCCCGUCGCUUUCAUAUAUUUAAAUUGGGAUAAGUCGUAACAAAGUAGAGGUACUGGAAAGUGUUUCUAGAAAGUU
rnacentral:ncRNA from 1 species